UUGGAGGGCAAGUCUGGUGCCAGCAGCCGCGGUAAUUCCAGCUCCAAUAGCGUAUAUUAAAGUUGUUGCAGUUAAAAAGCUCGUAGUUGAAUUUCGGGAUUAGUACGUCGGUCGUGCCUUAGGUACGUACUGGUGUUACUGGUUCCUACCUUCUGACGAACCAUCAUGUCAUUAAUUUGGUGUGGUGGGGAAUCAGGACUGUUACUUUGAAAAAAUUAGAGUGUUUAAAGCAGGCUCGCGCUUGAAUACAUUAGCAUGGAAUAAUGAAAUAGGACGUUGAUCCUAUUUUGUUGGUUUCUAGGAUUGACGUAAUGAUUAAUAGGGAUAGUUGGGGGCAUUAGUAUUCAAUUGUCAGAGGUGAAAUUCUUGGAUUUAUUGAAGACUAACUACUGCGAAAGCAUUUGCCAAGGAUGUUUUCAUUAAUCAAGAACGAAAGUUAGGGGAUCGAAGACGAUCAGAUACCGUCGUAGUCUUAACCAUAAACUAUGCCGACUAGGGAUCGGAUGAUGUUAAUUUUUUAAUGACUCAUUCGGCACCUUACGGGAAAC
rnacentral:rRNA from 1 species